CCUACGGGAGGCAGCAGUAGGGAAUUUUCCGCAAUGGGCGAAAGCCUGACGGAGCAAUACCGCGUGAGGGAUGACGGCCUGUGGGUUGUAAACCUCUUUUCUCAAGGAAGAAGUUCUGACGGUACUUGAGGAAUAAGCAUCGGCUAACUCUGUGCCAGCAGCCGCGGUAAUACAGAGGAUGCAAGCGUUAUCCGGAAUCACUGGGCAUAAAGCGUCUGUAGGUUGUUUAGUAAGUCUGCUGUUAAAGACUGGGGCUUAACCCCAGAAAAGCAGUGGAAACUGCUAGACUCGAGUGUGGUAGAGGUAGAGGGAAUUCCUAGUGUAGCGGUGAAAUGCGUAGAUAUUAGGAAGAACACCAAUGGCGAAGGCACUCUACUGGGCCAUAACUGACACUGAGAGACGACAGCUAGGGGAGCAAACGGGAUUAGAUACCCCGGUAGUCCUAGCCGUAAACGAUGGAUACUAGAUGUUGCACGUAUUAACCCGUGCAGUAUCGUAGNUAGACGUAGUAUCCGCCUGGAGUACGCNCGCAGAGUAGAAACGUUAAAUUAGUAAGUUAGUACGGCGUGAGACGUGCCGAACGGACGACGACGAGGGAGGUAGG
rnacentral:rRNA from 1 species